GUGGGGAAUAUUGGACAAUGGGCGAAAGCCUGAUCCAGCCAUGCCGCGUGUGUGAAGAAGGUCUUCGGAUUGUAAAGCACUUUAAGUCGGGAGGAAGGGCAGUAAGUUAAUACCUUGCUGUUUUGACGUUACCGACAGAAUAAGCACCGGCUAACUUCGUGCCAGCAGCCGCGGUAAUACGAAGGGUGCAAGCGUUAAUCGGAAUUACUGGGCGUAAAGCGCGCGUAGGUGGUUUUGUAAGUUGGAGGUGAAAUCCCCGGGCUCAACCUGGGAACUGCCUCCAAAACUGCAUGACUAGAGUACGGUAGAGGGUAGUGGAAUUUCCUGUGUAGCGGUGAAAUGCGUAGAUAUAGGAAGGAACACCAGUGGCGAAGGCGACUACCUGGACUGAUACUGACACUGAGGUGCGAAAGCGUGGGGAGCAAACAGGAUUAGAUACCCCGGUAGUCC
rnacentral:rRNA from 1 species